ACACAAAGAACCCGGGCUCGCCGAGCGCGCGCGCACACCCUCAUGCCGCGCGGCGAACGUUCGUUGCCAGGUGCGGCAGCCCGCCCUGGGCGCCUCCUGCCUGCGGAAGAAGAGCAGGACAGACCCGACCCGACCCGCCUAGUCCUUUCCUUCACAGCAGCCUCCAAACUCCACCGCUCGCCUCUUCCGCCAGGCUCCUAGGAUGAGGCCCAGGGCUCCUGGAGCAGCCAGGUGCAAACCAGACCGGGCUCGCACUCCACUGCGUUGCCCUGGGCGAUCGUCCACGUUCUGGGAGACUCGGUAUGCCCCGGGAGGGUGGCCUGAGCUUGUGGUGUGAAGCCAGGUACAGAGCUCCAGAAUCCUGGCCUUGCCAUGGCUGUGUGACCCUGGGCAAGUGACUCAAUUUCUCUGCCUCAGUGUCCUCAUCUAUAAAAUGGAAAGGAAAAUAGUAGCGCUUGUCUCCUCCGGCUGUUAUGAAGAUCCAAGGUUAACAGCGUAGAGAACUCGGAACGCACCCGGCAUCUAGGAAGUGCCAAGCCAGUGUCAGCUAAUGUGACUAUUUUUAAAUGGAGAUGGGGAGUGUGCCAUUAUUCUUGUCCUUAUUUGAAUGAACGGGCCCUCAGGGACCAUUUUCCACUGCCCCGCCCUGGCAGCAUGAGAGGGAAACGCUGUGAGAACCCCGAACCCCAGCCUUCUCCUGUCCCUCUCUCUCUCUCUCUCUCUCUGCACCUGGGAGGCGGGGAGGAGAGAGCCGAUCCUUCCACCAUUUACACGGAGAAUGAAAGAAGAAAUACCGGCCAGGCGCGGUGGCUCAUGCCUGUAAUCCCAGCACUUUGGGAGGCCGAGGGGGCAGAUCACCUGAGGUCAGGAGUUCGAGACCAGCCUGGCCAACAUGGCGAAACUCCGUCUCUACUAAAAGUACAAAAAUUAGCCUGGCGUGGUGCCGGGUGCCUAUAAUCCCAGCUACUCAGGAGGCUGAGGCAGGAGAAUCCCUUGAACCCGGGAGGCGGAGGUUGCAGUGAGCCGAGAUCACGCCACUGCACUCCAGCCUGGGUGACAAGAAUGAGUCUCAAAAAAACAAAAAAGAAGAAGAAGAAGAAAUACCACACAGGUCCGACCAAGAGCUGCCCCCACUCAGGCCAGGAUCCCUGCCUGGAAGGGCUCUGCAGCCACUCUCCCUGUACAGCCCCAGGAUGCUAAGGAGCAUCCCGAAGUGACACUGGCUCUCCCUGGAGGCCCCUGCCAUCGGACUCCAACCUGACCUUCCAGUGGGUGCUCCUCAUACUGGCUCCAGCCAAGACAGACGAGGACCACUGGGCACAUGCCCUUCCUUGCCUUCCUGUCACCCUUCCCACCCUUCUCUGCGGGCCCCGGGUGGCCCCUUCCUCCAGGAAGCACCUGGGGAUCAGCAGUGCCUCUAGGGUCCCAGUGGCCCACGUGACAUCUGCUUCUGGCCACCUGAGCACUCUCCUUUGAGUUCAGGGUCACUGUACCCUUUUAUAGGUGAGCAAACGAAAGCUGAGGAAGAGGAGUGACUGGGUCUCCCACAUCCCUCUGCUUCAGCUAUGAGGUUCCCUCAUGAACUGCAGGAAUAGACGUCAAGCAAAAACUCCUCAGACGCCCUGUGCAUGUGUGGUCGCACAGGGCACAAAGACUGAAGCAAAGGGGCAGGUCCUAGCGUGGGGAGGGGACUCCAGGAUUGAAGUUUGAACCAAAAGGAGGCUUUGACUAAGCCACGAGCAGUGAAGCCGGCAGGAGAGGAAGCAAGUUCUAGCAGAGAAAUUCGCCGGGUAUGGUGGUGCAUGCCUAUGGUCCCAGCUACUCAGGAGGCUGAGGCAGGAGGAUCACUUGAGCCCGGGAGGUGAAGGCUGCGGGAAGAGUUUGUCUCGUCUAUCAGGCCACCAACAAGAGUUGUUGCAAUGCCUGUGGGAGGUGCAGCCCACGCUGGGCCACCUGGCCAGCUCAGGGAUCCUGCUGGAGAUCGAGGAUUGUCUGGUCGGCCUCUUACAACUCUCAGAACAUCAUCCCUGGGAGCAGCCCUGAAGAGACCAAGGAAUGGAAAAACAGAUGGAAGGACUGCAACUCACAGGUGAAAAGGAACCGGCUACGAGAGGCUCCAAACCAAGGGAGCAGCGGAGUUUGUCUCCAAAACACCGAGCCCAGUGAGAGAAGCCAGAGCCACAGACCAGAUGCCCUGCAUGCGGGAUGGGAAGGGGCUCCAUCCUUACCUGGGGCAGGUCACUCCAGUGUGUGCUGUCGCGUUUCACUGUAGGAAGUGUAGACCUCAGUAAAAAUCCCAAGGAAAACCCCCAGACCCACUCAGGCUUCCUUCCUGCUUUGAACCACCUCAUGGCCCCCACCACACUGCCACUAAGCCACACUCCUGGCAGCCUCUGAGAUACCCCCUACCUGACCCUCCGCCACUCUCCUCCUCUGCCUCCCUCACUCCCAGCCUCUCUGGCCCCCUGGCUUUCCCUCCAACUCCAGGCUCCCCUCUCUCUGCCUCAGGGCCUUUGCCCCUGUCUUGCUCCCUGCCCCAGGCUCUUCCCCUCAGCCCUUCCCAGGUCUGGCUCCUUCUCCCUAGGCCUCAGCUCCAGUGUCUCAUCCCCAGAGACCUUCCCAGACCACCAUGUCUCAGACAGCCCCGGCUGCCUCCUGCCUGCCCUGCACCAGCCCUGAGCCAUCGCCUCAUUUUAUUCUCAUUCUAACUUGGAUAAUGGUUGCUCAAUCAAGAAGAAGCUGCCAGGCACAGUGGCUUGUGCCUGUAACCCCAGAACUUUGAGAGGCUGAGCGGGGUGGAUCACCCAAAGUCAGGAGUUCAAGACCAGCCUGGCCAACAUGGUGAAAUGCCGUCUCUACUAAAAAUACAAAAAUUCGCUGGGUGUGGUGGUGGGUGCUUGUAAUCCUAGCUACUCAGGAGGCUGAGACAGGAGAAUCCCUUGAACCCAGAGGCAGAGGUUACAGUGAGCCGAGAUCGUGCCACUGCCCUCCAGCCUGGGCAACAAAGAGUGAAACUCUUGUCUAAAAAAAAAAAGAAGAAGAAGAAGGAGAAGGAGAAGGAGCGGGAGAAGGAGAAGAAGAAGAAGAAGAAGAAGCCUCAGUGAAGUGCUCCAGCAUCUUCACCCCCUUGGUCACUUGCUCAUCUCCUUGAUGAACAAAAGCGGCCCCAGAUCAGAGCCAUCGAGCACCUGCAGCCAGCAAGGUUGGCUGGUUUUCAUUGUGUGCAUUUUUAAGGCGUCUUCUAUUUAUAGAAAGGAUUGUGGUCUUGCAUUUGUAGCAGCGAUGAAAGCUUUACUUUUUGGCAAAAUGUGUGCAAGUUGUUUAGAAGUGAGUCUGUUUGAAAAAAAAAAUUAAAUGAAUAAUGAUUUAGGAGGUGAGUUUGUUUCCUAGGGCUGCUGUGAUGAAGUGCCA
rnacentral:lncRNA from 1 species